rnacentral:rRNA from 1 species
CUUUUGCUGGCGACCGGCGCACGGGUGAGUAACACGUAUCCAACCUGCCCUUUACUCGGGGAUAGCCUUUCGAAAGAAAGAUUAAUACCCGAUAGCAUAAUGAUUCCGCAUGGUUUCAUUAUUAAAGGAUUCCGGUAAAGGAUGGGGAUGCGUUCCAUUAGGUUGUAGGUGAGGUAACGGCUCACCAAGCCUUCGAUGGAUAGGGGUUCUGAGAGGAAGGUCCCCCACAUUGGAACUGAGACACGGUCCAA